rnacentral:ncRNA from 3 species
UCGUGAGACAGGUUAGUUUUA